CCCCAAAAAGUGUCCCCAAAUGUCAUAGGGGUCCCCAAGAUGUGUCCCCAAGUGCCACAGGGGUCCCCUGGGAAUGUCCCCAAAUGCCACAGGGGUCCCCACAGCCCCCCAGAGUGUCCCCAAGUGCCUCAGGGGUCCCCAAAAAGUGUCCCCAAAUGUCAUAGGGGUCCCCAAGGAAUGUCCCCAAAUGUCAUAGGGGUCCCCCAAAAGUGUCCCCAAAUGUCACAGGGGUCCCCAGGGAAUGUCCCCAAAAGCCACAGGGAUCCCCACAGCCCUCAGAGUGUCCCCAAAUGCCACAGGGGUCCCCAAAGUGUCCCCAGAUGUCAUAGGGUGUCCCCAAGGAAUGUCCCCAACUUCCACAGGGGUCCCCACAGCCCCCCAGAGUGUCCCCAAAUGCCACAGGGGUCCCCAGAAAGUGUCCCCAAAUGUCAUAGGGGUCCCCAAGAUGUGUCCCCAAAUGCCACAGGGGUCCCCAAGGAAUGUCCCCAAAAGCCACAGGGGUCCCCAGAGCCCCCCAGAGUGUCCCCCAGUGCCACAGGGGUCCCCAAAAAGUGUCCCCAAAUGUCACAGGGGUCCCCAAGGAAUGUCCCCAACAUCCACAGGGGUCCCCACAGCCCCCCAGAGUGUCCCCAAAUGUCACAGGGAUCCCCAAAGAGUGUCCCCAAAUGCCACAGGGUCCCCAUAAAGUGUCCCCAAAUGUCACAGGGGUCCCCAAGGAAUGUCCCCAACAUCCACAGGGGUCCCCACAGCCCCCCAGAGUGUCCCCA
rnacentral:lncRNA from 1 species